GCUGCGAUGGCUGAGUGGUUAAGGCGUUGGGCUUGAAAUCCGAUGGGAUCUUAUCACGCAGGUUCGAACCCUGCUCGCAGCG